rnacentral:rRNA from 1 species
AUACGGAGGAUGCGAGCGUUAUCCGGAUUUAUUGGGUUUAAAGGGUGCGCAGGCGGCCAUUUAAGUCAGCGGUUAAAUCGUGGGGCUCAACCCCAUUCUGCCGUUGAUACUGGGUGGCUUGAUUGCGGUAGAGGUUGGCGGAAUUCGUUGUGUAGCGGGGAAAUGCAUAGAUAUGACGAAGAACACCGAUUGCGUAGGCAGCUGACCAGACCGCAAAUGACGCUCAUGCACGAAAGUGCGGGGAUCGAACAGGAUUAGAUACCCUGGUAGUCCGCACAGUAAACGAUGAAUACUUGUUUUCGGCGAUAUAAUGUCGGAGGCAAAGCGAAAGCGAUAAGUAUUCCACCUGGGGAGUACGCCGGCAACGGUGAAACUCAAAUGAAUUGACGGGG